AGCCCGCGAACCGAGCCCGCAAUUCUCAAUAAGCAAAUUUAUUUCUGCCGGGGCU
rnacentral:tRNA from 1 species